rnacentral:tRNA from 1 species
GGCGAGAUGGCCGAGUCGGUCUAAGGCGUGAGACUAAGGUGAUCCUCGUAAUCUCAUCUCUUCGGGGGCGUGGGUUCAAAUCCCACUCUCGUCA